rnacentral:tRNA from 1 species
UAGAGUGUGGUGUAGUGGGUAGCACGGAGAAUUUUGAGUUCUCAAGGUUAGGUUCGAGACCUAAGGCUCUAG